GGAUGUGAGGGGUGAUCUGACUGUGAUAUCUGUUACCCCACUGAUCACCAGCGUUGAUUCUGCUGAUCUGGCUGGUUAGGCAGGUGUCCAUUCCUCCCUCACUGCUCCAUGUAUGUGGUCCCUUCCAGAGCUGUGUACUUUGUCAAAGAGCAUGACCUUCCCCAAACAGAGGAGGGGCAGUCUUUAGUCAAGGGAACACGAGGGGCUGUGCUCCCCUGCUAAUACCUCCAAAUGGGCUCUUGAGAAAAUUAGAGGAUCAGUACAUGCAAAGUCAAAGUAACAAGAUUUCUCAAAAGAGGGCACAGAAGAAAUGCUAAGAAACAGCCAGGCAUAGUGGCACAUGCCUUUAAUC
rnacentral:snRNA from 1 species